rnacentral:rRNA from 1 species
AGAGCGAACGCUGGCGGCAGGCCUAACACAUGCAAGUCGAGCGCCCGUAGCAAUACGGGAGCGGCAGACGGGAUAGUAACACGUGGGAACGCGCCCUUCGGUUCGGAAUAACUCAGGGAAACUUGAGCUAAUACCGAAUACGCCCUUACGGGGAAAGAUUUAUUGCCGAAGGAACGGCCCGCGUCCGAUUAGCUAGUUGGUGAGGUAAUGGCUCACCAAGGCUACGAUCGGUAGCUGGUCUGAGAGGAUGACCAGCAUCACUGGGACUGAGACACGGCCCAGACUCCUACGGGAGGCAGCAGUGGGGAAUAUUGGACAAUGGGCGCAAGCCUGAUCCAGCCAUGCCGCGUGGAUGAUGAAGGCCUUAGGGGUUGUAAAGUCCGUUUUAACGGGGAAGAUAAUGACGGUACCCGUAGAAUAAGCCCGGCUAACUUCGCGCCAGCAGCCGC